rnacentral:rRNA from 1 species
GACGAACGCUGGCGGCGUGCCUAAUACAUGCAAGUCGAACGCAGUGGGGACGGGUGAGUAACACGUGGGUAACCUCCCAUAAGAGGGGAUAACACUUGGAAACAGGUGCUAAACCGAUACUGAUGGAUGGACGCGCGGUGCAUUAGCUAGUUGGUGAGGUAACGGCUCACCAAGGCCACGAUGCAUAGCCUGCCUGGGAAGGUGGUCGGCCACACUGGGACUGGGAAACGGCCCAGACUCCUACGGGAGGCAGCAAUAGGGAAUCUGCGGCAAUGGGGGGAACCCUGACCGAGGAACGCGGCGUGGGUGGAGGAGGUUUUCGGAUCGUAAAGCUCUGUUGUUAAGGGAGCGUUACUUAACCAGAAAGGGACGGCUAACUACGUGCCAGCAGCCGCGGUAAUUC